rnacentral:rRNA from 1 species
UACAGAGGUCCCGAGCGUUGUUCGGAUUCACUGGGCGUAAAGGGUGCGUAGGUGGUGAGGUAAGUCGGAUGUGAAAUCUCCGGGCUUAACCCGGAAACUGCCAUUGAUACUAUCAGUCUUGAAUACCGUGGAGGUAAGCGGAAUAUGUCAUGUAGCGGUGAAAUGCUUAGAUAUGACAUAGAACACCAAUUGCGAAGGCAGCUUACUACCCGAAUAUUGACACUGAGGCACGAAAGCGUGGGGAUCAAACAGG